AUUGAACGCUGGCGGCAGGCCUAACACAUACAAGUCGAGCGGAUGAAGGGAGCUUGCUCCUGGAUUCAGCGGCGGACGGGUGAGUAAUGCCUAGGAAUCUGCCUGGUAGUGGGGGAUAACGUCCGGAAACGGGCGCUAAUACCGCAUACGUCCUGAGGGAGAAAGUGGGGGAUCUUCGGACCUCACGCUAUCAGAUGAGCCUAGGUCGGAUUAGCUAGUUGGUGGGGUAAAGGCCUACCGAGGCGACGAUCCGUAACUGGUCUGAGAGGAUGAUCAGUCACACUGGAACUGAGACACGGUCCAGACUCCUACGGGAGGCAGCAGUGGGGAAUAUUGGACAAUGGGCGAAAGCCUGAUCCAGCCAUGCCGCGUGUGUGAAGAAGGUCUUCGGAUUGUAAAGCACUUUAAGUUGGGAGGAAGGGCAGUAAGUUAAUACCUUGCUGUUUUGACGUUACCAACAGAAUAAGCACCGGCUAACUUCGUG
rnacentral:rRNA from 1 species